UCCCUAUAUUACACAAUAAUUAAAUUAGAUACCUCUAUAUUACAAAAAUAUUAAACUAUUUGAUUCCUACAAUAUGAAAAUGGCUGAUAUCAAAGUAUUUCUUAGCGCCAUAUGAUAUCAAUAUAAAAAAAAUUGCAACAUAGAGAAAUACAUAAAAUAGAGGAAAUAGAAGUUUGCUUUCCAAUUUCAAAUUCCACUUUCAUUACAUUUCAUUAAUAUUCUACUUGUUUAUACUAAUUAUAAAGCCUUCAAAUGCCCCAAUAAUACUUCAAUCUUUCUACUCCUCUUUUAUCUUCAAUAUCCCUUUCCUAAUUUCAACACUCUAAUAUGCAAUGUUGCCGUUUCUCAUGACCCAAGUUGUUGUUUGUGUUGUGAACUUGAGAAGAAAUUGGAAUGUACCAAUCAUGCUAACUUCCACAAACAUGACAGUAAUAAUAUGUCCUUGGCCUAUUUGGAUUAUCAAUUGAUUUUGAGAUUCUAAUUCCAACUCUUUUUCACACCUACAAUUUACAUCCAUCAACCUAUCAACCUACCAUUCCACCCAUCUAUAUUAUGAGAGGAAGACAUUUUUAGAAAAAAAAAAAAAUCUUCUCUCCUCCUUUUAUAUUAAAAUUAAAAUUAAUGACACAAGGUAAAAAAGCAGUGGCAAAAACUAACUAAUUGAAUUUUUGAAAUAUGUUGGAUAUUUUAAUAUAUUUUUAAAAAUAUAGAGAUCAAAUAGUAAAUUUUUCCAUACUAUAAGGAU
rnacentral:lncRNA from 1 species